rnacentral:rRNA from 1 species
ACGAACGCUGGCGGCGUGCUUAACACAUGCAAGUCGAACGGAAAGGCCCUUCGGGGUACUCGAGUGGCGAACGGGUGAGUAACACGUGGGUGAUCUGCCCUGCACUUUGGGAUAAGCCUGGGAAACUGGGUCUAAUACCGAAUACACCCUGCUGGUCGCAUGGCCUGGUGGGGGAAAGCUUUUGCGGUGUGGGAUGGGCCCGCGGCCUAUCAGCUUGUUGGUGAGGUUACGGCUCACCAAGGCGACGACGGGUAGCCGGCCUGAGAGGGUGACCGGCCACACUGGGACUGAGAUACGGCCCAGACUCCUACGGGAGGCAGCAGUGGGGAAUAUUGCACAAUGGGCGCAAGCCUGAUGCAGCGACGCCGCGUGAGGGAUGACGGCCUUCGGGUUGUAAACCUCUUUCGCCAGGGACGAAGCGCAAGUGACGGUACCUGGAGAAGAAGGACCGGCCAACUACGU